ACCUUAGAGACCAACUAAGUUUGUUAUUGGUAUGAGCUUUUGUGUACAUGCACACUUCUUAAGAUACGAAAGCUCAUACCAGUAACAAAUUUAGUUGGUCUCUAAGGU